UAUUUGGCAUACAAUAAAACACACUAAUGAACCAAUACUUAUUCAUCCAGAACACGGUAUUAUCGCGACAACGACACAUCGAUUACAAUUAUUUCCCGCUUAAUUACGCUGCUUUGAAAUGAUCAGCAAAAUGUAAAACGACAUCCUGUUUGUUACGUGAUAUCGCGUUACGUAUCGGAGCCAGCUUCUGCCACGAGCCUGCUGUUUACCCGUGCUUCAGCCAUUCUGCAACGAUCACGAAGCCCAUGUGCAAAAUUAGUUUGAACGCGAAUCAAAUCGAAAUGACCAAGGCGAUUUCCCGGGAAAAUUCGUGAAGGCCGGAUUACUGGAAUGUACGACCCGCUCAGGUGAAAUAUUUUCUAGCAGUCGUACAUCACCUAUUGACAGUGUUAUUGAUCAUAGCGGAGAACCGUGGAAUCGAAGAAAGCAAUCAACGGGGACAUUCGAUCUGUCUCACUGACAAAGCGUACACCAGUCCGCGUCAACCUACGCUACGGAAUGCGGUGUUAACGGCAAUGAAAUCUCUCGCGAAUGGACCUUUUGAAGUUAAACAACGGAUACAUAAAUCAACCGAACGUCCGUAUUCACACUCAUUCAACUUGAUCCGCCAAAAAGGGGAUGAAAGCGUAAAAAGGAAAAAAAAUAACAGGAAACAGGAAACAGGAAAUUUAUUCCGUAUUCCAUCCAGGGGACUGGGUUCCCUGACGGAUUAAAAUUUCGUCAUGCUAAUCCUUUCGCAGAGUGUAUCCAUGGUGUUCAUUAGUGAAGAUUACGUUUCAUGUGUUCUAUUGGCCAACUGUUUAAUUGCAUGCCUGUUUACACGCUAGAUGUUCAAAGCUAUUUAAAUCAUAAAGUCCCGUUUCAACUGCUCUCUCGUAGAUAUUAUUUUAACGGCUACAGAGAUUCGUUUUACGGUGAAAUGGUUAGUUUUGAGAUCAGAUAAAAUUCCCCUCUUCUACCCCCCUCCCUGUUUACCCUGUGUACACGAGCUCGUAGCACGAAAUUCACGUCAGUUUAAUUCUAAACACGAUAGCGUUGCCAGGGCCUCUUGUAUUAUUUUAUUAUUGAACAAUUUGAGAAACACGUUGAGCCAAUUAAAGCAAUCGUUCACUGGCCGGUCGAUCACCUAUGGCGAUUAAAUUAAUAUGUCAAAUGGAUUUUCCGAUAACAGGAAGAUUUACCCUUUUGUAAUCACCGCAAAUAUCGUCGUUUAAUUGCCUCCGUGAAUGAAAAAUUUCUUCCCUUUGCCGGUCACUACUAAAUAAGACUGCCUUUUCACGACGCCAGGAGCGACUAACGAACGAAUAAGAAAGUUCAAGUGAGUUUCCAUUAUCGUGCACGAAAAAACAGAAUUAAUGAGUCCACCUUUUUCCAUCUUCCCUCUCUCUCUCUCUCUCUCUCUCUCUCUCUCUCUAUCUCUCACUUUCUUCAUUCCUUAUUUUUUUGUAAUCCUAACUUUUUCGCUCGGCACCGCAUGAAUUGAAGCACGUCAAUGAUUUUUAUUCUCAAUCCCGCCGACGCGACGUACGAAGUACGGUGCAAUCGUUUUUUACACGAAUAUCACGUUUCCCUUUCGCCUUUCAAGUAUGUCCUUGUUUCAAAUGGUGAACCAGCGACCAGGCACGGCUUUACCAAAUUCAGGACGACUACUAUUUAUUCUCCUACGUGCCGAACCACAAACUUAUUGUGCAUUCAGCGAUUUGCGCCCUGGAAUUAGCUUACACGUUAAACCACCAUCCGAUUACCCGACGGAUAAUUCGACUUGCCGUAGUCGUACAUCGGGCGAUGGAAAAUCACCUAAGCUAAAUUCAGUUUCGCCGACUUUCCCGGUUGAUGAAUUAAAACGAACCGUUUACGCUCACAUUUCCACGCAUCGCUGAGAAAUGGCAUACACGAACAGAGACGCGCACAAGUUAUAGACAAAAACGGUUGACACUCGAAAAGAAUUGAAGUAGAUACGGACGUUGUUACACGGACAGAUACUUGUACGAUCCGCGCACAUCGAGAGGGCACAGGUCACAGACAAAAAAACGCGCGUGUUGAAUGAAUGCCCAAUGAGUUUCCGAGCCGUAAAUAAAACCGACCACCGGGAAAAGAAGGCAGAGGAAACGGGGGGAUGAGAUUAUAUUCAACCCGAGUUAUUCCUUUUAUAGAUUCUUUUCUUCAAGUAACUUCCUACUUGGCGUAACAAACGGAGGAGAACAACGAUCAAAAUUUAAUUAACGGGUAAAAUAGGAAGGGAAAAAAUGUCAACAGCAGUGCAAA